UACGUAGGGGGCGAGCGUUGUCCGGAGUUACUUGGCGUAAAGGGCGUGCCGGCGGUGCGGCAAGUUUGGAGUGCCAGUCUCCGGCUCAACUGGAGAAGGCCUCUGAAAACUGCCGGACUUGAGGGCCAGAGAGGGACAUAGAAUUCCGGGUGGAGUGGUGAAAUGCGUAGAUAUCCGGAGGAAUACCAAAGGCGAAGGCAGUGUCCUGGCUGGCAUCUGACGCUGAGGCGCGAAAGCUAGGGGAGCGAACAGG
rnacentral:rRNA from 1 species